GUAGGUGACCAGCGUUGUCCGGAUUUACUGGGCGUAAAGAGCGCGCAGGCGGUCGUUCAAGUCGAGUGUGAAAGCCCCCGGCUCAACUGGGGAGGGUCAUUCGAUACUGAUCGACUCGAAGGCAGGAGAGGGAAGCGGAAUUCCCGGUGUAGUGGUGAAAUGCGUAGAUAUCGGGAGGAACACCAGUGGCGAAGGCGGCUUCCUGGCCUGUUCUUGACGCUGAGGCGCGAAAGCUAGGGGAGCAAACGGGAUUAGAUACCCCGGUAGUCCUAGCCGUAAACGAUGGACACUAGGUGUUGGUGGUAUCAACCCCACCAGUGCCGAAGCUAACGCAUUAAGUGUCCCGCCUGGGGAGUACGGCCGCAAGGCUAAA
rnacentral:rRNA from 1 species